rnacentral:rRNA from 1 species
UACGGAUGGUGCAAGCGUUAUCCGGAUUCACUGGGUUUAAAGGGUGCGUAGGUGGGCAAGUAAGUCAGUGGUGAAAUCUCCGGGCUUAACCCGGAAACUGCCAUUGAUACUAUUUGUCUUGAAUACUGUGGAGGUCAGCGGAAUAUGUCAUGUAGCGGUGAAAUGCUUAGAUAUGACAUAGAACACCAAUUGCGAAGGCAGCUGGCUACACAAAUAUUGACACUGAGGCACGAAAGCGUGGGGAUCAAACAGG